AGGCAGUGAUGAGUAAAUCGAGAUAGUCAUGGACCACUCUGAUUUAAUCAGUGCUGAGAAUUUCUCUUACCAUAUUUCUUCUGAGCCU